CUACGGGAGGCAGCAGUGAGGAAUAUUGGGCAAUGGGGGAAACCCUGACCCAGCAAUGCCGCGUGCGGGAAGACGCCUUUCGGGGUGUAAACCGCUUUUCUGCAUGAAGAGGAAGGACGGUAGUGCAGGAAUAAGUCACGGCUAACUACGUGCCAGCAGCCGCGGUAAAACGUAGGACGCGAACGUUAUCCGGAUUUACUGGGCGUAAAGCGCGUGCAGGCGGUGGCUUAAGUCGUGCGUGAAAGCUCCCUGGCUCAACCGGGAGAGGCCGCGCGAAACUGGGUCACUGGAGGACGGUAGAGGGGUGGGGAAUUCCGGGUGUAGUGGUGAAAUGCGUAGAUAUCCGGAGGAACACCAGUGGCGAAGGCGACACGCUGGGCCGUACCUGACGCUCAGACGCGAAAGCAUGGGUAGCGAACGGGAUUAGAAACCCGAGUAGUCC
rnacentral:rRNA from 1 species